UUUCUCUUCCAAACCAGGCACCAAUGCCGUGAACUGGAAGCCUGCAGCUGGGAGCAGAGAGUGGUUGUCGCAGUCUGCUGAUCCCCGUCGGCUGAGGCAGUGCCCAGACAUAGCGGCGCAGCCCCUUUCCACCAGCUGAGCCACGCACAGCGGCUGUGGCCCAACGGAGCCAUGGGUCUCUUCCCAACACAGCCACGAGCAAUAUCCUGAACAGAGCAUUCUAACUUCAGGUGAAGAAAAGCAACAGAAGCAGAUGGGCUCGUAAACAGCAGAGAUCUGGCUCUCCCACAGAGGUCCUUGCGGAGUGGAAAGGAGCAGAAUGGAAGACUACUGCAGAUCCUGUGGUGUGCAAGAGUCACGGAGAAAAGAGACCUAUGAAAGAUGGCUCCAGGUUGGGGUUUUAGAGAGGUUUGUGCUUGAUCUAGGGUUGAAAGGUUGGUGUUUCUAUUUUUCUUGGGGAUUGGGAGGAGAGAGAUUACUGAGUCCUUGAGUCUCAAUGUAAAACGAUUAGAAUCUGGAACAGAUUCCCAAAAUACAUUUAGGGAUGACUAAAUGCACAAAGCAGCUUGAAUAUACCUACCACCAGAGUUCAUCCAGUGCUGGAUAAAGCCUCUGAAAUGGGCAGUGCUUUAAUAAAGUCCAUAUGUCUGGGGACUCAAAAUACAAGAAAAAAUUAUGGGGAGGGAGAGAUAACACUUCCUCCAUUUCUUAGAAAGGGAGAAAAUGCCAAAAAGUUACUAAUUUUUUUCCUGAGGCAUUCCUCAGCUGGACAAGAACCACUACAGGUUAAGACGAUCCCCAUAACCUGACACUUGCAGAACUUCAUCCUGGCACAAGUAGUUCUGGCAUUUCUAGGGAGAUCUGUAAUUCCAAGUAAUAACCUUGGAGGUUAAUUGAAGUCUGAAAAUAAGUUUAUUUGGUAGGUGGGCUAGAGGGGAUUUUAAUUAUGUGUUUAGAUCAGUGUUGCUUUAAGCAUUAAUUUUCCCUGGGAAAGCAAGCUGUAUAUCAGGAACAACACCUUCACACAGCUUAGAUUUGGAGACAGAAAAUCAGGGGGGACUGGCAAAAGCCCAUAGCCUGUUAUGGCAGACGGAAAUGAGCUCUGAAUUAAAAGAAUCUCUUUUGUUUGUUUUAGGCCAAAAAUAACUGGACUCUGGGUAAGUCCUGAUUCCCUGAGAAUGGGAGCUCAGUAGUUUUUUGACAGUCAGGCUGUCAAAAGAAAGCUAUCCGAAAUGCAGACUACACACGUCUGAAUUUUUUUUUACCUUAUUUCUCUUUUCUGCUUUGUGUGUCAUAUUCUCCUUGCAGCUUUCCAGAGCAGAGUUACCCUUCCACUUGUUCCCCUUUGCCCCCUGCUGAGUCAAUUCCUUUAUUUUCCACCGUUAUUUGUACUGUAGUCACUCCCAGAACCUGGGAAA